rnacentral:rRNA from 1 species
UACGUAGGGUGCGAGCGUUAUCCGGAAUCAUUGGGCGUAAAGGGUGCGUAGAUGGCCUGAUAAGUUAGCAGUGGGAAAUCGAGGCUCAACCUCGUGGAAGCUGGUAAUACUGUUAGGCUCGAGUGCAGGAGAAGUUAACGGAACUCCAUGUGGAGCGGUAAAAUGUGUAGAUAUAUGGAAGAACAUCAAUAACGGCGAAGGCAGUUAACUAUUCUGUUACUGACGUUGAGGCACGAAAGCGUGGGGAGCAAAACGG